GUGGGGAAUUUUGGACAAUGGGCGAAAGCCUGAUCCAGCAAUGCCGCGUGAGUGAAGAAGGCCUUCGGGUUGUAAAGCUCUUUCAAUCGAGAAGAAAAAAUCAUGACUAAUAAUCAUGAUUAAUGACGGUAUCGAUAGAAGAAGCACCGGCUAACUACGUGCCAGCAGCCGCGGUAAUACGUAGGGUGCUAGCGUUAAUCGGAAUUACUGGGCGUAAAGGGUGCGCAGGCGGUUUUGUAAGUCAGAUGUGAAAUCCCCGGGCUUAACCUGGGAAUUGCGUUUGAAACUACAAAACUAGAGUGUAGCAGAGGGAGGUGGAAUUUCAUGUGUAGCAGUGAAAUGCGUAGAGAUAUGGAAGAACAUCGAUGGCGAAGGCAGCCUCCUGGGUUAACACUGACGCUCAUGCACGAAAGCGUGGGGAGCAAACAGGAUUAGAUACCCUAGUAGUCC
rnacentral:rRNA from 1 species